UACGGGAGGCAGCAGUAGGGAAUCUUCCGCAAUGGACGAAAGUCUGACGGAGCAACGCCGCGUGAACGAUGAAGGCUUUCGGGUCGUAAAGUUCUGUUGUUAGGGAAGAACAAGUACCAGAGUAACUGCUGGUACCUUGACGGUACCUAACCAGAAAGCCACGGCUAACUACGUGCCAGCAGCCGCGGUAAUACGUAGGUGGCAAGCGUUGUCCGGAAUUAUUGGGCGUAAAGCGCGCGCAGGUGGUCCUUUAAGUCUGAUGUGAAAGCCCACGGCUCAACCGUGGAGGGUCAUUGGAAACUGGGGACUUGAGUGCAGAAGAGGAAAGUGGAAUUCCACGUGUAGCGGUGAAAUGCGUAGAGAUGUGGAGGAACACCAGUGGCGAAAGGCGACUUUUCUGGUCUGUAAACUGACACUGAGGCGCGAAAGCGUGGGGAGCGAAACAGGGAUUAGAUACC
rnacentral:rRNA from 1 species